ACUCAAAUGAAUUGACGGGGGCCCGCACAAGCGGUGGAGUAUGUGGUUUAAUUCGAUGCAACGCGAAGAACCUUACCAAGGCUUGACAUCCCGAGAAUCCCGCUGAAAGGUGGGAGUGCCGCAAGGAGCUCGGAGACAGGUGGUGCAUGGCUGUCGUCAGCUCGUGUCGUGAGAUGUUGGGUUAAGUCCCGCAACGAGCGCAACCCUCGAUGCCAGUUGCCAACGGGUAAUGCCGGGCACUCUGGCGUGACUGCCGGUGACAAACCGGAGGAAGGUGGGGAUGACGUCAAGUCAUCAUGCCCCUUAUGCCUUGGGCUACACACGUACUACAAUGGACGGGACAGCAGGCCGCAAAACCGCGAGGUGGAGCCAAUCCCCAAACCCGUUCUCAGUUCAGAUUGGAGGCUGCAACUCGCCUCCAUGAAGGCGGAAUCGCUAGUAACCGCAGGUCAGCAUACUGCGGUGAAUACGUUCCCGGGCCUUGUACACACCGCCCGU
rnacentral:rRNA from 1 species